GAUGAACGCUAGCGGGAGGCCUAACACAUGCAAGCCGAGCGGUAGAGUUUCUUCGGAAACUUGAGAGCGGCGCACGGGUGCGUAACACGUGUGCAACCUACCUUUAUCUGGGGGAUAGCCUUUCGAAAGGAAGAUUAAUACCCCAUAAUAUAAUGAUUGGCAUCAAUUAUUAUUGAAAACUCCGGUGGAUAGAGAUGGGCACGCGCAAGAUUAGAUAGUUGGUGAGGUAACGGCUCACCAAGUCAAUGAUCUUUAGGGGUCCUGAGAGGGAGAUCCCCCAAACUGGUACUGGGACACGGACCAGACUCCUACGGGAGGCAGCAGUGAGGAAUAUUGGACAAUGGGUGAGAGCCUGAUCCAGCCAUCCCGCGUGAAGGAUGACGGUCCUAUGGAUUGUAAACUUCUUUUGUACAGGGAUAAACCUACCCUCGUGAGGGUAGCUGAAGGUACUGUACGAAUAAGCACCGGCUAACUCCGUG
rnacentral:rRNA from 1 species